rnacentral:sRNA from 2 species
AACGGAGAUCAGAAUAAAGGGGACCUAAACUAAGUGAACAUUCGGCAUUCACAACAGCUAAAUUGGCAAUGAUUGCACAGCGUUUGGAUUUGAAAAGUGCCAGGGAUCAGCAACGAUCCCUCUAGGAAAUCGACUCCACGUUCAAUCAAUAUUCAAUCUUCAAAUUAUAGAAAAACAUUCGAAAUACAAACUUCAACGGCCCCAGCUGAGUAUAUUGUCAGGUAACAAUUAUUGUGAAUGUUACGAUUGAAUAAUUUCAUUGAUAUCCAUGAAAGGGCUUCUAACAACUGCUCCGGAAGAACUACAUGGAUUUGCUUCGACUCCAGGAAUUGAAAAAGUUUCAGGUACCCCGCACUGAACUCUCCGAGGGUCCGGUAUUAGCUAAAGAACAAGAAAGGAUAUUAAAUGAUGCACAAAAAUAUUCACUCAUCAAGCGGGAGUGUAAAUCUGAGACAAACUGGGCUGCCACAUAGCCACAGAUAAACCCCUGAGAAGCACAGCACACUUCUGCGCAGUAUAUGCAUUCGCUCUGCGAUAUCUGAUCACGCUGGUCAAUGGGUGUAGAAUUCUACGUCCUGAUGUUUUUUUGUAGGCCCUGUCCUCCGGCUGCUCCCUGGCUUAGUGGAACUAGUCAACACAAUAGCAGCGAACCGGGGUGAAUUGCCUCCCUCUUCAA